rnacentral:rRNA from 1 species
GAUCAUGGCUCAGAUUGAACGCUGGCGGCAUGCCUUACACAUGCAAGUCGAACGGCAGCGGACUCGGGUGCCGGCGAGUGGCGAACGGGUGAGUAAUGCAUCGGAACGUGCCAUUGAUGGGGGAUAACGUAGCGAAAGUUGCGCUAAUACCGCAUAUUCUGUGAGCAGGAAAGCAGGGGACCGCAAGGCCUUGCGCUCUUUGAGCGGCCGAUGUCAGAUUAGCUAGUUGGUGAGGUAACGGCUUACCAAGGCGACGAUCUGUAGCGGGGUCUGAGAGGAUGAUCCGCCACACUGGAACUGAGACACGGUCCAGACUCCUACGGGAGGCAGCAGUGGGGAAUUUGGACAAUGGGGCAACCCUGAUCCAGCCAUGCCGCGUGAGUGAAGAAGGCCUUCGGGUUGUAAAGCUCUUUCGGCCGGGAAGAAAUCGCAUGGGUUAAUACCCUGUGUGGAUGACGGUACCGGCAUAAGAAGCACCGGCUAACUACGUG